AAUAUUCUGUGAUAAGCGUCGAUUUUAUUGUACAUUCUCUUAUCAUUCUUAUCUCAGAGUGUUCGUACACGCUCUGUACACAAAGUGCUCACAUGGAAGUAAGAAAGUUUUCGGUUAAUUGUGUAAAUUCUGUGGUUGGAAGCUUAAGUGGAAAUCUUUGGCAUUCAAAUGUCGCGGCAAGCCGAAGUUGAACGAAGACGACCGAAUACGCCCGAGGUGCGCUUUUGAAAUCCAGUCGGCCACCUCCUCGUCAGUCUGUGUUCCUGCUCCAGAUGGGCCGCUAGCGACCGCCGUUGCUACCGCGGCGUCGCGGUUUAGCGCUUGCGUUUCCGAUUCUUGGGCGGAAGGCGGCGGCGGUCCCGUUGCGGCGGUUUACGCGAGGGUUCACGCCGCAACGGCGAGGUGCCUCGUUUGCAUGGAGAAGCAUCGAGGGAAGGCCCAGGGUUUGAUGGCGCGUCGCGGCCUGGCGACAUCGAGCGAGCGCCCAGCGGCCGAGAGGCGCAUUCCCUCCAACAUGGCAAGGUUUAACGACGUCGUCGGACCAGGGAACGACCCCCGACUACGAGGGAAGAGCUCACCUGCAACCUGCUCUCCUGCUCCUCGCUCUCGAAUAAUGUAAAUUCACGGCAUCUUGCCGAGGGAAUUAUUCAGCCCGGGCUGAGUCAGGAUUUUUGGACGCCUCACGGGAAGAGCCAGCCGAGCGUCCUCGGAUGUGAAACCAGCAGUCGCCGAUUAAUUUCUACCUGGACAUACCGGUUGAGAGCCUGUCUUCGGCAAACUCUCAAGGAUUGGCAAGAAGGUAAUUACGACAUGCUACCGUACUCGCAGUUUCUCAUCUCGAGGCAGUAUUUCAAGACGGCGAAGGCAGGAAAAGCUUCCCUCGCAGCUGGAGGAUAAAUAAAACCAUUGUGGCGUGCAUUAGUACGAGCUUGGCCGCGAGAUUAUCUCCAAGUGCAUCCUAGGAUUUUUUGUCAUCCCGGGAAUGAUGUUACGAUACCAAGCGAUGACUUUGGGAGAUUGUCAAGAACGAAUUGUGAUGCUGGAGUUCACCGCUAUUCGGGUAUUUUUUUUUGUCCGGGAGAGAAACGCGACUUCUGUGGGUUCCUGGUCCCCUGACUACGAGAUCUCUAACGGCUAGGUCGGGGCUGCAACUAUCGAUUUCCGGAAAGCGCACCUGCUCCGACAUUAUGCUCUCUUAGGAGGAGUGCCAGGUAUUUAGCGACAGCGAAGAGAUUGAUUGGUCCGACGACGUAAGAGUAGCGAGUGCGUAAACGUCGCUGAUGGACGAUAAAGCAAAUUACAC